CCCCGCACAAGCGGUGGAUGAUGUGGAUUAAUUCGAUGCAACGCGAAGAACCUUACUACCCUUGACAUGUCCGGAACUUGCCAGAGAUGGCUUGGUGCCCGAAAGGGAAUCGGAACACAGGUGCUGCAUGGCUGUCGUCAGCUCGUGUCGUGAGAUGUUGGGUUAAGUCCCGCAACGAGCGCAACCCUUAUCAUUAGUUGCUACGCAAGGGCACUCUAAUGAGGCUGCCGGUGACAAACCGGAGGAAGUGGGGAUGACGUCAAGUCCUCAUGGCCCUUAUGGGUAGGGCUUCACACGUCAUACAAUGGUCGGUACAGAGGGUUGCCAAGCCGCGAGGCGGAGCCAAUCCCACAAAGCCGAUCGUAGUCCGGAUUGUUCUCUGCAACUCGAGAGCAUGAAGUCGGAAUCGCUAGUAAUCGCAGGUCAGCAUACUGCGGUGAAUACGUUCCCGGGUCUU
rnacentral:rRNA from 1 species